UAGAACGCUGAAGAGAGGAGCUUGCUCUUCUUGGAUGAGUUGCGAACGGGUGAGUAACGCGUAGGUAACCUGCCUGGUAGCGGGGGAUAACUAUUGGAAACGAUAGCUAAUACCGCAUAAAAUGGAUUAUCGCAUGAUAAUCCAUUGAAAGGUGCAAAUGCAUCACUACCAGAUGGACCUGCGUUGUAUUAGCUAGUUGGUGGGGUAACGGCUCACCAAGGCGACGAUACAUAGCCGACCUGAGAGGGUGAUCGGCCACACUGGGACUGAGACACGGCCCAGACUCCUACGGGAGGCAGCAGUAGGGAAUCUUCGGCAAUGGACGGAAGUCUGACCGAGCAACGCCGCGUGAGUGAAGAAGGUUUUCGGAUCGUAAAGCUCUGUUGUAAGAGAAGAACGAGUGUGAGAGUGGAAAGUUCACACUGUGACGGUAUCUUACCAGAAAGGGACGGCUAACUACGUGCCAGCAGCCGCGGUAAUACGUAGGUCCCGAGCGUUGUCCGGAUUUAUUGGGCGUAAAGCGAGCGCAGGCGGUUAGAUAAGUCUGAAGUUAAAGGCUGUGGCUUAACCAUAGUACGCUUUGGAAACUGUUUAACUUGAGUGCAAGAGGGGAGAGUGGAAUUCCAUGUGUAGCGGUGAAAUGCGUAGAUAUAUGGAGGAACACCGGUGGCGAAAGCGGCUCUCUGGCUU
rnacentral:rRNA from 1 species